GCGGUGGGUGCGUUCAGUGCUGCCGUUGUUGCAGCACUUUGUGAACGCACCCCAGAAAUGUCAGUUUGACAAAUGGUCACCAGUGAACGUAUCCCAGAAAUGUCAUCUUGACAAACAGAUUUUGAUGUUUUCGUUUAUGUUUUGUAUUCCGAUAUGUAGUUUUCAUCUGCUGCUAAAAUUAAUGGUGCAAACUUUGUAAUUUGUACUGGGAGUGGGACAUUUUUGCUCUGCUGAUAUCGAAAUCGCAUUAUUUUUAUGUGUAAUUUACAAACCGAAGUCUCACCUCAACCCUGUCAACACGUCAAAGGUCCACCUCGGAGAUCGCGACCCGAACCGGAAUCCAACGCCACGAGAACGCGAGAUUAGCUGAGUUUGCCUGAAGGGACCGCUCAAGAGGUUAUCCUCUCAGUCUUCAAAUCCCCAUCAACCUGUGCUUGAAUAAAAAAACACUGCUAAGGCCACCGGAACGUCUCACGGGUUGGCUGUGCCAUCGGUCGUUUCAACACAGCUUCCGAUCAGCCCUUUCGUAACAACCACGGAGCUGGAUCUUCAAUCACAAAAAUCAAGUGGUUGCGGAAAACGACGGGCAGUAAAAGGGACCAGCGGAAAAGCGAAGCAAGUGGAUGUUCCGGAAGUUGUUGCCGCUACUGCCUGACCAGAGAAAAAAGAAAACCAGAUCGAAAAGAAAGGUUCCCGGGUCCGCAUUCGGUGGCCGCCGCCCAAAAGGGAUAAAGGGACGCAUUCCUGCGGCUGCAGCCGCCGCCGAAGAACCGGAACUAGAAUCAGUUGAGAAGAAGGGACGCGGUCUGAAGUCAGAUGAAAAUGGUACGGGUCCAGGGUGUUACAGUCACAGCUCCAAAGGAACGUCGCCACGGAAAGCCAAAGGCUGACGCGAAGGAACUGGAAGAGGAGGUGGCCGCUUAGCCAAAAAGGCAGAUUCUGCAAAGAAGGCAGAGGCGGUCAACAUGCCGUGGAGAAACCGAUGCAAAUUCUCUGCCAAAUCCAGCAGUAGCUGCUCCGGGCGCAAAAAGGCAACAACAUCCGAGGAGGCAGUUUCAGCAAUUUCCUGGAACUGCAAUCGCUGAGCGCAAGAAGGCUGAGCAGCUGCUUCGUCGUGGGCAUGCCGAUCGAUACGCGGUCUGGCAGAUACCGGAGAAACGUCGUCGGCGGUUGGCCAAUCCAACGUCACGAGGAACGUCGCCAGAAAUUUGUGGAGGAAAUCACAAGAUUGCGGAAAAAAACUUGCCCCGCGGGUGAAAGCGAGGAGCGUGGUAGUUAGUUUAUUUUUGUUUAUAAAGUUUUAGAUAAUGAAACUCAAUCAUUGUUUCAAAAAUAGGAGUCUACAAAAGGUAUACAUAUUUAAAUAGCUUAGUGUGGAAUUUUUGAGAAUUCGAAAACAAAAUAAAAAGAUUAUGA